rnacentral:lncRNA from 1 species
ACUAAGGUUAUAAACAGCAGGUCGGAACUAUCUCAGGAUACAGCAAGACAUGGUCGUUACAGGAAUAAAAUAAUCAUCACAGGAAUAAAGGAAUCGUCACAGGAAUAAAGGAAUCAUCAUGAUGCGGAAGACAAAGCAAAAAUAUCCCGGGAAAACCACAGCAAUCACUCGGUAUAAAAACGAGUGAAUGAAUAUAGACCUACAAACAAGAAAUAGUUAGAAUUAGUGACUAUUUUAAUCACGGAAAACAGUAAAAGGUGACUCCGUGAAAAUAAAUCACCAACUAAACCUAAAAGGAGAAAAAAUGUAUCAACUAACAAUAUAAGAAUUUUAUACUCUUUCAGCACAUUAUCCACCAUUCAUUUUUCAGUAACUACGCAUAAAUGAUGGAGGACUGCAUAAAUUUUUAUGUGACAUUGCAUAAAUAUUACAGUCAACAUUAAAUAGUCGGAAUAAAAAAUUAUGUCAUCUAGAAUAACAACAUAAAAAUCUGUUUAUGGGAAACAAUACAAGGAAACCAACCAUGCCAAACAGCGUAUCCUAGUGUGUAAGCAUCUCAAUGCUAACCUCUUAAAAUGUAUAACUAAACAAUGACAAGUAUAAAGAGAACCAUCACUACGAACUAAACACUAACCCUUUAAUAAUAGAAGCAAAACGUGCAACUCUGCAGUUAAGCUCCUCAAUACCUACAGAGAGUUUUGUUUAGCAAGGGGUCCAACACUGCAGAAAAGAGCCUGCAAAAAUUGAAGAAAAGAAUAACGCCAAUAUCCAGUUAUCAACCUGUAUAAUUCAUUAAAGAUCAAAGUAAGUACCUCAAAACAAAGACAAUGGAAAACCUUACUAGCUAGGCAGAACUGUUGCACAGCUACAUGGAUCCUCGAGGAAGCAUAAGUCACCAGUAAAACGUCUUUACGAUGAUACAUUCCAUGUUGCACAAAAGGUGCACAAUUCUUACAGGUGAAAGGCUGGUAUUGAUGAAUAGAAAACUGCACAUACAACAAUACUUGAUGCCUUGGUAUAAAGUCUUACUCGCUGCCACUAAUACUGGAGGGCAGCCUUUAUAAACAUUUGACAAGGUAAACCCUUACAUAUAACCCCAAAAGACCCAAGUACAAAUGCUUAAUAGGGAUAAUAUAAUACAGUGGCUGGCCAUUGUCAACCCAACUCAUACUGGUAUAAUACUAGAAUACAUGAUAUAUUCAUUACAAUAUUGAUGAAAUGUAGGCAACUAAGACAUUGGUUAAUAUAUGCAUAUAAUGAAUUGGUAAAUAAAAUAGACUUUGCUUAAAAUACUACUGAAGUAUUGCUGGAAAAUUGCAAAAAUAUAAUGGCAUAUGAGUUCUUGAUAGACAUUUUAGGCAUUUGCAAUUUAAUAUGUGUUUAAGAAAUUUUACAUAACCCCAUUGAUUCCGGGACAAUAGAGUUGCAUGUUUCAAGUUGAUCAAAAAUUUCACUGAUUUUAGUGCAGUCUUGCUUUUCAAGAGAAACCCAAAAGUGACCAAGAGCUCAACAUCUUCCAUGGAAU